ACUCAAAGGAAUAGACGGGGGCCCGCACAAGCGGUGGAGUAUGUGGUUUAAUUCGAAGCAACGCGCAGAACCUUACCUACCCUUAACAUCCUGUGCAAUACGGAGAGAUUCGUAAUUCCCUUCGGGGACGCAGAGAUAGGUGCUGCAUGGCUGUCGUCAGCUCGUGUCGUAAGAUGUUUGGUUAAGUCCAAUAACGAGCGCAACCCCUGUCUUUAGUUACCAUCAUUAAGUUGGGGACUCUAAAGAGACUGCCGGUGUUAAACCGGAGGAAGGCGGGGAUGACGUCAAGUCCUCAUGGCCCUUACGGGUAGGGCCACACACGUACUACAAUGGCAGAGACAAACCGACGCCAACUCGCGAGAGGGAGCAAAUCGGUAAAACACUGUCUCAGUCCGGAUUGAAGUCUGCAACUCGACUUCAUGAAGCUGGAAUCGCUAGUAAUCGCUGAUCAGCAAGCAGCGGUGAAUACGUUCCCGGGCCUUGCACACACCGCCCGU
rnacentral:rRNA from 1 species